GUAGGUGGCAAGCGUUGUCCGGAAUUAUUGGGCGUAAAGCGCGCGCAGGCGGUUCUUUAAGUCUGAUGUGAAAGCCCACGGCUCAACCGUGGAGGGUCAUUGGAAACUGGAGAACUUGAGUACAGAAGAGGAAAGCGGAAUUCCACGUGUAGCGGUGAAAUGCGUAGAGAUGUGGAGGAAUACCAGUGGCGAAGGCGGCUUUCUGGUCUGUAACUGACGCUGAGGCGCGAAAGCGUGGGGAGCAAACAGGGAUUAGAUACCCUGGUAGUCCACGCCGUAAACCGAUGAGUGCUAAGUGUUAGGGGGGGUUUCCGCCCCCCUUAGUGCUGCAGCUAACGCAUUAAGCACUCCGCCUGGGGAUACGGCCGCAAGGCUG
rnacentral:rRNA from 1 species